UACGUAGGCAGCGAGCGUUGUUCGGAAUUACUGGGCGUAAAGAGUGUGUAGGCGGUGCUCUAAGUUCGGUGUGAAAUCUCCUGGCUUAACUGGGAGGGUGCGCCGGAAACUGGAGUGCUUGAGCGUGGGAGAGGAAAGCGGAAUUCCUGGUGUAGCGGUGAAAUGCGUAGAUAUCAGGAGGAACACCUGUGGUGUAGGCGGCUUUCUGGACCAUUGCUGACGCUGAGACACGAAAGCGUGGGUAGCAAACAGG
rnacentral:rRNA from 1 species